UACGUAGGGUGCGAGCGUUGUCCGGAAUUAUUGGGCGUAAAGAGCUCGUAGGCGGUUCGUCGCGUCGGCUGUGAAAACCCGGAGCUCAACUCCGGGCCUGCAGUCGAUACGGGCGGACUCGAGUUCGGCAGGGGAGACUGGAAUUCCUGGUGUAGCGGUGAAAUGCGCAGAUAUCAGGAGGAACACCGGUGGCGAAGGCGGGUCUCUGGGCCACUACUGACGCUGAGAAGCGAAAGCAUGGGGAGCGAACAGG
rnacentral:rRNA from 1 species